rnacentral:misc_RNA from 1 species
AGACAUCCAUUUGAAAAGAUCAUGAGAGAUUAUCAUGAAAAGAAAACGGUUAUAGCAUCAUUGCCACACAAAUGACUUGAGAAGAAACUGAUUAUGAGAGAUGAUCAUCAAAAAAUUAAAAAAAAAAAGAUGAAAUAAAAGAGAGAUGACAUCAAUAAUAGAGAAUGCAACAUGCUCUGCAAGAAUGAAGGAAUUAAUUUGAAU